rnacentral:rRNA from 1 species
CGAAGGGUACGAGCGUUAUUCGGAAUCACUGGGCGUAAAGGGGGCGUAGGCGGCCUCUUAAGUCAGAUGUUAAAGACCAUGGCCUAACUGUGGAAAGGCGUCUGAGACUGAGAGGAUAGAGGGUGAGAGAGAGUAGUGGAAUUCUCGGAGUAGCGGUAAAAUGCGUAGAUCUCGAGAGGAACACCGAUGGCGAAGGCAGCUUCUUGGCUCAUACCUGACGCUAAGGCCCGAAGGCGCGGGGAGCAAACAGGAUUAGAUACCCUGGUAGUCCGCGCAGUAAACGUUGAUCACUAGGUGUUGGGCGUCGUAAGAUGCUCAGUGUCGAAGCUAACGCGUUAAGUGAUCCGCCUGGGAAGUACGGUCGCAAGAUUA